GCCUAGCAUAGGGCGUGAGAAAUUAUGGCGCCCAGCCAGGGGCGUUGAAAAUGCGUCCCUGGCUGGUUCUCGUUAUGCGACUUUGAUUUAGCGUGCUUGCCUAAUAACGUCCUUUACGCGUUGUGCAGUGUUUGUGAGAUUCGUUACAGGCCAUCCCGAGUGUCGCUUAUUUUUGUGGCGAUCGUUCGGGUUUGCGGAACACGUAUUUCGGUAUAACUCUUUGGCCAAUUUGUUUAUGAAUGUUUGGACAAUUUUUAAGGUCGUUGGUUUCUAACAUUGUUUGUCACACACAAUCAUACAUUUCGCUACACAUAACUAACAUUGCAUCAUGAGGCAAUAAUAAUAUGUCAUGUAGUUUAUGAUAGGCUUCUAUGGGUAGUAUUUGCGCCUGGCUUGGUACCGCUUCUAUCGCAGAUCCAACACAUGCCCCGGUCGAGGUAGUGCCUUCAACAGACGAAUUUCGCCCAAGAGGCCAAUCACGAUGUAAGCCAAGGGGGCAUGCACCAAUGAGAGGGACCUAUUGGGCGAGCGAUUGGGUUUGGGACGGGUGUACUACUAGCGAAAGUGCCGAGUGGACAACAUUCGAAGCGUAUGCACCCCCCGGUUGGCGAUGGGUAUCCUUAGUCCUAACUCCCUGAGGGAGCCAAGAUUCGUUAUGCGGUUCUGCCCGUUCACAUUAAUAUGCUGAUUUUCAGGUCGUCCCAACUUGAUGGGGAAAUAAACGCGGGGUAGGAUCGUUUCACCCUUCGGCUAUUUUGAUUACCUACAAGCACGAGUAUUUCCUUCACUAUCCCCAAUGGAGUCGCCACUGUGAGGGGGGCAAAAAAGCACGAGGCUAAUGCGUGACCUCGUCCCUCGUGGGUGUGACGCUUCUUUUUUGUCAAAUAAAGUGUAAUUGGAUUUCUUGUGAGUUUACACCCAAUUGACUAGUAAUAUAGGAGUCGCCAUUCAGUUUUUAACGAUAAUGAGAAAAACUGACAAAACUCGGUUAUCGUGACAUAAAGGGAGUGCAAUUAUGUUUGACCACGACGGCCGUAGGUUCCCUUGUGAUCCCUGGUGUGGGGAUCUCUCAACAUACACCCGCAAGGUAGAGAUUGAGGGUUCGGGGGACUGUAACUACCGAGAGGAGUACUCGCUCUUCGAUAACUCCAGAGGCAGGAUAUCCUUACUAGCUCAGCAUAAAUAAUUGAAGGGACAUGCGUUAACUAUUAAACUAAUCUGAGUUGAUUUUAACAAUAUGCAACAUAUAAUACUAGAUCGAGCGCGAUUAUCUGAUUUAGAUUGUAUUAAGGGACCUAGCAUGAUAAUCCAAUUUCCCAUAAAUGUUAUCUUUAUUAGGCGUGAUAGAACAAUCAGAUUUAAUUAGUUUAACAGUUCAUAAAAAAGGGAGAGGAAAGCAAUUAAACCAUGGAAAAGGGACACAUUACGACGCACCCUUGAGAGGUGCGCCACGGUUCUCAGAAAACUAACCACUUUGACUUUUCUAUUUCUCCUUUUAUUUAACGAAUCUCAAAUUAUGGGACAGGAUACGUUCUGUUCGAUUUCUGGAUCGAUUGCGACAUAACGCGUGAUUAAUUUCGCAGUGUGAGGCUUAGGCUUAGGGGUUUAGAGUCAAUACUCAGAAUAUGAAUUGUGUGUUGUGUUCCUUUCACGUCGAACUUGGGGCCAUAUUUAUAGAAAAGAGUUCGUGGAAAGAUAGAAUUGUAGAACUCUAAUCCACGAGGAAUUAGGAAAGAACACGUCCCAGGUAAUUUCAGCGCCCAGGGCUAGGCGCCGAAGAUUUCGGCGCCCAGAGCCAGGCGUUGAAAAUAGGGUCUGGGCCGUUUCUUUGUCAGAUUCAGACUCUUAGAAUCCGGAGUGUAUGAGACUUAAUCGAGUCUUUUAGUGCGUAUUAAUUUUAUGAGGGAAUGCGUCUGGGCCCGUUACGAACUCUAGGCUCGUUAGGAUUUUAAUUAAUACGUAACUCUUAUUUUCGAAUCGUAUUAGGAAUAGGAUUCUCUCGCAAUUUCUAUCUCAUUUAGGAUUUAUGUUGGAGUGCAACACCUAAUUCUGACAGGUUUCUAUCUUUUAUGACUUGCCACUUUUAACAACUACCCAUUACGGCAGUUACUACUUUUAGCAGGUUUCCAUAAAUAGCAGGUUUCUAUAAAUAGCAGAUUUCUAUAAAUAGCAGGUUUCGGGUGAAAUGAAAAGGGUGAUUGAGAUUCGUUAUUUUAUAGGAGAUGCGUUGUCAAGUGGAGAUUUAUGUUCUCAUUAUCGAACCUUCCCUUUCGGGAAUGGGGACAAAAGUAGGUGUCUACAGAUGUCAUGGCUGCAAGUUUGAUGCUGUUGGUUGUCUUUGAGUUGUUAACAAGUUUUGCAACCCUAAAUAUUUUGUGCAACAUCUUUUAGAGUAUAAUGAUAGACCUGUUCUUAGUCAUGAAGAUACGGAGAUGAUGAUUGAAGAUCUGGUACUGUACUGCGUUGAACCUUGCACAAUUUCAGUUUUACUACUGCUUAAUUGAUUUUGUAGAUUAAUUUUUUCAGGUAAGAGAAAUAACUCCAGUUUUGCAAACAUAUGAGCUUAGAAGGCAUAAACCAACUCCGAUAGAUGAAGUUAGAGCAGGUAAUCUUGCUUGACCUUUAGAUAAAAAUAAGCAUACGUUUCGGGGAAUGUUCUUUCUCAAAGUAGAUGAAGCUAGAGCAGUAACAUCAAUGAUGAAGAUUUAUGAGCAGGUAACUCAACUCAACUCAACUUACCAAAACAAACAAACUAACCAACUGAGGUGAAAGAUACAAUAACUACAUUGCAAAAGCGGAAAAAUGUGCAAAGAAGGACUCAAAAGAGCUACAACAAUGCAUCGGGAAAAAAUGUACACUCAAGCUCAAAGUCAAUAACAAAGGAUACAUACAAGAGCUAACUGUUAUUAAGUUCUUCCAUGUUGAAACAGAUGACAAAAUAGCUGCAAAACGACAAGGGAAGAGAGGACUAUCACAAAGUAGAUACCUACAACAAGCACAACACCAACUGCAAACCAAGACCUAAUCCAGCUCACGGACUACAUACUAAACUCAUAAAUGAUGAUCCAAAGAUAAAAUGUCUGUCACAAAUAAAAAGUCGUUUUGCCUCACUUGAAAAUGGGAAGUGAUAAAUCCAAGGAAAUUUUAACUUCUUCCAAGGAAAUCCAUAUUUUUUCAAAGAUGAUUUCCUUGGAAGAAGUGAAUUAUUCCUUGGAUUUAUCAUUUCCCCUUGAAAAUCUACACUUUUUUAAUACCAACAAAGAAGGGUUAAUCAGGAUUUAUUACCAACAACGUAACUACCGGUUUCCAUAAAAGUAUUUGUUGUGAGUUGGUUGAUUAUUUAGCUAGGUUUAAUUAGUUUGUCAUUAAUUCUGUUAGUGGUGUCAAAUGUUAACAACUCCUUCCAAUUGUACUGUCAGAAUGCACCUUUUAAUUUAGUCUCUUAGAUUUCACUCCUGGGUUUAUGUCGAAUAAAUUUACAUCUCUUCUUAAUUGUAGUCUCAAAAAGAAAUUUGUCGUCAAAAAUCUGUAGACAUUAUGUUUCCUAAUGGGCUAAUGAAAUACACCAACAAAGGCAAACACAAAGUAUUAUACGAACACCCAACACCACCAAAAACAAAAACAACUACACAAAACAUAUUUUUUCACCCACCUAACAACACACCAAAGCCACCCUUAUGAAAAUGGAACAUCUAAACAAAGUCACACUAACAACAUAAAUGAACUUUCAAUAUAACACAUUAAGGUUAACCAACAUAUACCAAGCCCGUUCUGUGAACGGGUCCAAUAACUAGUUUGCUACAUUAACUUCGUCUUGUUACUCUAGAACACCUACAUAUUUACGAGGAAUUCAACAACGCGCCACUACUAGAACUCUUCUACUUGUUCAAUUCAUACUACUACUUAGACCUGACCAAGACGAGCUCGGCCCGUCGCCCCAGCCCGCUCCGCCCGAAUUUUUUGCGGGUUUGGGCAGAUUUCCCGGCCCGAAAAUUCAAUUUUUUUGGACGGGUUUGGGAAACAUAAAAAUACACUUUUUUAGUCAUAAAUUUGGCCCGGUCCGAAAAUGGCCCGAAAAGCCAGGUAUUUUAGGCCCGAAAAUAGCGGCUUUGGGCACAAUUUUUUUACCCGAAUCUUGGCCCGGGCCGACAUACCGGGCUGAUUUUUUAUGCCUAGGCCCGGCCCGACGUUUGAUCAAGUCUACUACUAUUAAAUAUCUUGAAGUUUCUAUUCAAGAUUUCAAGCCAAUUUUAUCUUUAGUUUUCAAUGGGGUAAAAAUAAGGGGAAAAGGUAGAAAAUGAAAGAAUUUCAUUGUUGAAAUCAAGACCCUCAAUCUCUCUCCUACUGUAUCGACAUGUUUUCCCCAAAACCAACAAUUCAUACCAUAAUCAUACAUCAAUUUAAAAAGAGCAAAAAUGGGGAUCAAUUUAUUCAUUGGGUGGUGCAGAGGCGAAGCUAAGGAACGGUCAAACGGAGGCGAGGGGCGGCUAUAGACGGUGGCUGUGGGUGGAGGUGGUAGGCAGGCUGUUGACGGGCUUCAGUAAGGUAGGUGAGAAGCAAUCGAGGGAUUGCAUACUUGUUGCCUUUGAUGAAGAGGAAGAUGCUCUGUUUGUUUCUUAUUAAACUCCCCCAAUUGUUAGUGAAAGUAGGGAACAAGAGUUAAAAAUAUGGAGUAAUAAUAAAAUCGCUAAUUGAUUUCGGGUUCAAGUCAAAAUCGUGGACUCAGUCAGCGAUACUUACAACAAAACCGCUAAUUGAGGUGAUGUUCGGCACCGUUGUGGUUUGCUCGGUUUCCGUUUUUUAAUUAAAAAAACAAAACGAAACUAGUUCGGCAAUAUCAUUUAAAAAAACGGAUUCUUAAUAGUUUUGACAAAAACAAAACGGAAAAAGGUAAACCACUUUUAGUGGUUUUAGGAAAAAUGAUUUUUAAAACAACUGUAGAGUACAGUUGUCAACCACUUUCUCUGCCCUCUAAGUCUCUAACCCCUCUUACUUUCUCUCUCUCCUCCAUUGCUCUUCUGCAUACUCUCUUUGUUCAUAGCUCUUUCUGCCAUUUUACUUUCUUCCUCUCCAAUAACUUAUACUUUCUCUCUCCUCCAUGUCUUUUCCUCAGUUGUUCAAUUAUUUCGAAUCUCCUUCAACUCGUCAUAGAUCGCAUCCGUAACAUCUCAAUUACCUAUCACAAAAAUAAUUUCGUUCAACUCCAUAGAUCUGGUACCUUCAACUCCAUCCUCGUUGACGACACAAGCCAAUUUUAGACAAUAAACUUGACGAGUCCAUUUUUUCCGUAGUUAGGGGUGAAAAAGAACGUGUUUACUGACGGCGCCGGAAAAAAACUCCAUCACAUAAUGUUUGAAGAAGCCAACAUUAAAUUCCAUUGAUUUUUUAUGAAUAUUGAUGUACUAUUAUUUGUAACCAUUUAAAUAUACUAAUUUUGAUGAGAAUAAAUAAAUUAAAAUAUAAAGGAGACAAUUUCAUUGAUUAUUUCUUUCUCCGUAUCUUGUUACUGGUUCGUCUUGUUAACUUAUGGUAUUAGUUAUGGCUAUCCUGUCAAACGUGUUUUAUUUUUGUUUUUUAAAAGCAUAAAACCAAACCUAUAUAAUCAGUUGUUUGUUUUUUAAAAACAAAAAACUCAAAAACCAAAAUAGUGCCGAACAGGGCCUGAGUUAGCGGUUUUGUGCUGAGUCAUUAAAGAAAAAAUCGGCAGGUCUAAUUGUUGACGUGGACGGUAUGUUGAGAAUUAUACUCCCUCCGUCCCAGAUUAGUUGUUACACUUUUCUUUUUCGUCCGUCCCAUAUAAGUUGUUACAUUUCUAAAUUAGGAAUGACUCCACAAUUAUUAUAUUGUCUCUCUCUUCCCACUAAAUAUUUUUUUUGUCCCCACACCCUCUCUUAUUCAAUUAAAAAAAAUACUCCACUAACUUCUAUCACUUCUACUUUUUUUAAUAAAAUAACAUUUGAUAACCAAACAAUCACUUAUUACCUACACUUUGUGCAAAGGUUAGUGUAACAACUAAUCUGGGACAGAUAAAGUAUAAGAAAUGGACAUAUUUUGGGAACUUUAACAUUGUUAAGCAUUAUUGUCAGAAAUCGCUCGUAAUAAGUUUGGUGGAUGUAAGAAAAAAUAAAUAAAGUAUGAGAAAGUGAGUGGAAAAUUGUAAAUAUUGUGGGUAAGAAGGGUAAGAUAGUAAUUUUUCAUGUCCAAAAAUAGAAUAAAACAAAAUGUUAAGCCAUUAUGAAACGAACUAAAACGGAAAGUGUAAGAAUCAUUUUAAAACGGAGGUAGUUUUAACCAAUGAGCUUAUGAGAUACUCCCUCCGUUUCUUUUUGUUGUAUUCGUUUCCAUUUUAAGCGUUUCAUAUUGUUGUAUCCAUUUAGAAUCUAUUCUAUUUUUGGACAUACAUUUUAUCCUAAAAUACCCUUACAUUUCUAUCUAAUUACCAAAAUACCUAAAGAUUCUACCCAUAUUCCCACCUAAUUUUCCCCACCCAUAAUAUUUAAUUAUUUUCCCUUCCCCAUAUAGCCACUCUCUCACCUCCUUUAUCACCCAUCAUUAUCACUCCUCUCUCUUACCUUAUUUCUUUAUUAUUUUCUCACUCCUUUAUUUAUUAUAAUCUCUUGCACCCAAUCAUUUAUUUUACACCCAAUCAUUACACUUAUACCUAUACAAACCAAUAUUUCAAUUUUCUUAAAAACCACACCAGAUUCCAAAUGGAUACAUCAAAAAGAAAUGGAGGUAGUAAUCGUUUCAUUUAAUCCCUUUAGUUAUGAAAGUAGGACUAAAAAAACAAUCAGAUUGUUCAGAUCUUUGCACAAAAACAUCAAGUUGUUCACACCAUCAUAGGGCUUCACUUAAAAAGGGUGAUGAAGUAAUUAGCAAGAUUUGGAUUGCAUCCUUCUGAUGCUGGGCUCGGAUGAAGUUGUUUAAUAAAAUUUGUAACGUUGACAUUAAUUAUCGAUUAUCUGGAUUAGGCUAGUCAUUGUACUGUAGAUCAUGACAUUCAUGAUCAUCUUUGAAUUGCUUCAGCUACUAACUACGAACUAGGAAGGUGUUGAAGUGACCAAUAUAACUCAAUACACCGACAAUUAUGUAAAUGUGACUGUUUGGGAUCAUUCUUACAACAUUUUCCCUUUAUUAUUCGGUAACUUGUCUGCAAACUUCCAAUCAACUUCCAGACUCGAUGAUUAAUUGAUAGAUCUUAGUAAAAUCACUUAUUCUUUAGCUUGAUACCAUGAAAAUUGUUGUGAUCAGCCACUGUAAAGAAUACUAAUACACAUUGCGCUACCUAAUUAUGUUAAAUAGUCCAAAGUGUUCCACAAUACUAAUACACAAUACAUAAUCAAAAGGGAUUAAUGGAUUAUGUUGACUUUUAAACAGUUGGAUAAUACUAUGUUCUACAUUUCACCAUGUGGGGGAUUGAUU